rnacentral:rRNA from 1 species
UUCGACGACAACGACGAACGUAACCUUACCGAGGGCUCGACAUCCCCUGACCGCGUAUGAAAGUACGUUUUCACCCUCGGGUGACAGGGAGACAGGUGGUGCAUGGUUGUCGUCAGCUCGUGUCGUGAGAUGUUGGGUUAAGUCCCGCAACGAGCGCAACCCCUACGUUUAGUUGCUAACGCGUGAAGGCGAGCACUCUAGACGAACUGCCGUUGACAAAACGGAGGAAGUGGGGAUGACGUCAAAUCAUCAUGCCCCUUAUGUUCUGGGCUACACACGUGCUACAAUGGCCGGUACAGACGGACGCAAAGCCGCGAGGUGGAGCAAAUCCUAAAAAGCCGGUCUCAGUUCGGAUUGCAGGCUGCAAUUCGCCUGCAUGAAGUCGGAAUCGCUAGUAAUCGCAGGUCAGCAUACUGCGGUGAAUACGUUCCCGGGCCUU